rnacentral:rRNA from 1 species
CCUACGGGGGGCUGCAGUAAGGAAUAUUCCGCAAUGGGCGCAAGCCUGACGGAGCGACGCCGCGUGAAGGAUGAAGUCCUUCGGGAUGUAAACUUCAAUAGUUUGUCAGGAAGCAAUCCGGGCUAAUACCCCGGUGCGUUGACCAGCAGACGAAAGGGACGGCUAACUCCGUGCCAGCAGCCGCGGUAAGACGGAGGUCCCUAGCGUUGUUCGGAAUUACUGGGCUUAAAGCGCGUGUAGGCGGAAGGGCAAGUACCUUGUGAAAUCCCCGGGCUCAACCCGGGAAUAGCUGGGUAUACUGCCUUUCUUGAGGCAGGUAGGGGUCACUGGAACCUUAGGUGGAGCGGUGAAAUGCGUAGAUAUCUAAGGGAACGCCUGUGGCGAAAGCGGGUGACUGGGCCUGUCCUGACGCUGAGACGCGAAAGCGUAGGGAGCAAACGGGAUUAGAUACCCUUGUAGUC